rnacentral:lncRNA from 1 species
GCGGGCGCCCCGGAAGUGGUCGCCGCCGGCCCGGAAGGAGACUCUGCAGCCCUCCGUCCGCUCCUGGAGCGCGCGGAUUUCUGCCCUGGCGCAAGGCGAGGGCUGCGUGUUUAAGGACAAUUUGAACGGGCAUGGUUUUUUGGAGAAGUGAGUGUGCAGAUGCAGAAAGAACGCGUUCUGGGGCGGACGUGCAUUCAGCUGGGCCAUUUGCCACUUACAUCAUCCGCAGGGUCCCUCCGGCUACUUAUGGGGUUUUUGGGAUCCCUGUGUGAGACCCCUCGUGACCGCUGGUUCGAACUAGACCGACGGCGUUGGCGCCUUCCUCCAGUUCGUCUGGCUCCGGGGAGGAGGAUGGCCCAGGAUCUGGAGGCGCUGGCCUGGGCCAGGCGCAGUGUGUGGCCGAAGCGGGGCCAGCGCGGCGAUCUCCGCAGAGCGCCCAGUGCCCGACCUUGGCGCGGAGGGCAUCGCCCUUUCCAGCUGUUAGGAUUCACUGGCCUUUGGGUCCUGUGGAUGGUGACACAGUUGGAACAGCUCCUGUAUUUGGGGAUUCAAGCCCUUGCAGCAGACCGCUUGGCCAAACUCAGGAAGACCUUGGUUUAGGUUGUCUCGUCUGUCCCGGAUUAAGUUUAGAAACAGGACCCCUUAUCCACCCUAGCAGAAUAGACAUUCACGUUUAGGGAGGUGAUGCGUUGGAAUUUGGACGUGAGACAGAGCUGUACUUAGCCUAGCUCUAUCAUUCACUAGGUGUGAGACUUCAGACAAAUUACAUAGCCUUUCUCCCGUCUCUAUGUCAUGUUUGUAAAAUGACUAAUAGUAAAUGCUUGCCUGAUAGGAAUUUUGCUUUAAGAAUUAAAUGGGACUGUGAAUUGUAUGUAUGGUGCCUGCCCUUAAUCAUUUAUUCAACAACUGAUUACUGUCAUUACUUGCUCUUGCAAGACUGUCCCAACUAGCUUGCUCUAAGUGUAUGACUUUCUUCCUUCAGAAAGACUUGUUUUGACAGAGUAAUAAUUUUCAAGAACUGUUAAGGUAGCAGAAUCUGCUUCUCCCCUUUUAUCCCCCAAAAGUCUAUGGGGACUUCUAAUAUAUAAAAUCGAUGCAGUUACCGUGUUUGAGUGAGAGCCCAAGCGGUAGGACUGAGGCCUAAAUGUACCUUCCUCUAGCCUUUUCCAGGAGCUACCCCCCAUCCCCGUCUCUCUUGGGGACCCUACAGCACCUGCCCAGGACCCUGGGAUUCCAGGGAGCAUAGUUUGAAAACUCCAAGUUGAAGUGUUUCUUCCAUCUCAGAGC